GACGUAUUCCUCGUCGUAGGAGCGAGGGGGAAGCUUGUCGAGCCAUUCUUGGGCGAUGUUGACCUCGCAGUGGGCGGAGCAGGCGUCGAUCUCUUCCAGGCGGUGGGAAUCCGGGUCGAUCAGGCCCGUGUUGAUUAGGGCCUUCAGGAGUGUGUGGCCCGCCAGGCCCACUACCUCGUGUUUCUUGCCCUCGAAGUCUAUCGCCGAGAGCCUCACGAUGCGGUCCGAGACCUUCUUCGAGGAGGACGAGGUGGCGGUGGAGCGCGAGAUU
rnacentral:lncRNA from 1 species